AUCAGAUGAGCAACAGACCUUGUUCUGUCUGAUUCCUCCAACGUUCUAAGGGAGGAAGUUCUCUCCAGUGUAGACCAAAAAUCGACUUGGUGGUCUGUGGUCAGCUGAAUUGUUUUUCCAGAAUGUAACAGGAGUUUCAUGCCCCAUCAUAACCAGAUGUAGCUGAAAGCUUUGGUGAGUUGACCAGAAAAGGUUUCCUCGAGCUCUUCAUCAUGUGGGCAUCUAUAUAUAGACUCUACUGCGAUGUCGCCCUCGAUCUUAAUCCGCCUUGCACAGUCUAGUGAGUGGCUUCAGGUUUCCUGAGAGAUUUUAUUCAGCGGAUCAUGGUGUUUCUCCACACGGAUGCAGUGUUCCCUGCCAUGAUACAAUGGAACAAGAAGGACGCUGAUAAAACUCCAGAUGGUUUGCUCAUCCACGUCUACUCCACACAUUUCUCCUAGAUGGCGGCACCUCCUUUCCAUCCUGACUUGGAGGGGCUUCAUUUCAGACGGUUGAGACUUUUCCAAGCCAGGAUUGGGCUGAUGCAGGGGACCUCCUCCGAGCAAGAGGGUGCAUGCCAUGGAUGACAAAGGCAGGAGCUGCUCAGUCCAAACCCGGGUCCCCCAACCACCGUCUAGUGGACGUGUAACAUCGGCAAAGGGCUACCUCCUCUUGAAGACAACUCAUGAGAGGAUCAUGGGGAGGAGAUGGGUCCUGGAGGACCAGGAGCAGGGAGACACAGCCAUUUCUGGGAAGAGCCCGUGGAAAGGGCAUCCAGCCAGACUCCAGAUCCCUCGUUUUUCCUUUGGCCAACUUCAUUGCAUCAACUUGUAGUUGAUGUACUACUAGCAAAUUGUAACAGUGUGUAGACUACUUAAUAGGCGAUCAAGUGGACCAAGAGGAAAAGUCGGACCUUCCUGGGGCACACAUGCAGGUAACAUGGAAACUGUAGUCACUUCCUGGUGCCACCUCUUAGCCAGGCGGUGUCCUUAGUGAUAUUGCUUAUGCCUUAUUCUCGCCCUGUGUGGUUACGAUCCUCCACUGCACAGGUAAUGAACAUGAGGCACUGAAGGUAACCUGCCCAGUGUCCCACAAGGCUGUGGUGUGAAUGUUUACAUCACCCAAAGCAUUGAAAUCCUAACUCCCAAGGUGGUGGUAUUUGGAGAUGGGGCAUUUGGGAGCAGAUAAGGUCAUGAGGCUGAAGCUCUCAUAGAUGGAAUUAGUGCCUUAUAAAAGAGGCCCCAAGAGAGACUGCUUGUCUGUCCCUUCCACUGCGUGAGAACACAGCAAUAAGGUACCAUCCACGAACCAGAAAAUGGGUCUUCAACAGACCCCAAAUCUGCCUUGACUGUGGACUUGCCAGCCUCUAGAACUGUGAGAAAUACAGUUUUGUUGCUAAUGAGCCACCCAGCCUAUGGUACUUUGCUAUAACAGCCCAAACAGACUGAGACACAGUGAGUGGACCCUGUGACGCCAGAGUCUGUCCCUUGGCCACCACUGUUGAAGGCCAAAAGGGUGAGGGUCGUGAUCAACUCAGUGCACCACUGGAGGCCAUAUGGGUAAACAGCAAACUGUUCUCAUGAAAGCAGGAUGUUGGCAAACUGACAAACUGCAUCUGCAGCCCAGAAGGAAUGCUGAGGGCAGUCACAACCCAGGCACAAGUGUUGCUUGGGAUUAGACGCAUCUGGAGCCUGUUAGCAAUAAUGUGAACCUGUGAUCAAUUAAGCAGCUGACCAGUCUCACCUCCUCCUCCCUGUUCUUUCUACCCAAUAAAUACAAAGGG
rnacentral:lncRNA from 10 species